rnacentral:rRNA from 1 species
GACGAACGCUGGCCGCGUGCUUAACACAUGCAAGUCGAACGGAAAGGCCCUGCUUUUGUGGGGUGCUCGAGUGGCGAACGGGUGAGUAACACGUGAGUAACCUGCCCUUGACUUUGGGAUAACUUCAGGAAACUGGGGCUAAUACCGGAUAGGAGCUCCUGCUGCAUGGUGGGGGUUGGAAAGUUUCGGCGGUUGGGGAUGGACUCGCGGCUUAUCAGCUUGUUGGUGGGGUAGUGGCUUACCAAGGCUUUGACGGGUAGCCGGCCUGAGAGGGUGACCGGCCACCUUGGGGCUGAGAUACCGCCCAGACUCCUACGGGAGGCAGCAGUGGGGAAUAUUGCACAAUGGGCGGAAGCCUGAUGCAGCAACGCCGCGUGCGGGAUGACGGCCUUCGGGUUGUAAACCGCUUUCGCCUGUGACGAAGCGUGAGUGACGGUAAUGGGUAAAGAAGCACCGGCUAACUACGUG